CAAAAGACAGAAAUUCACUAACAAUGUCCUGCUGGAGCAGGGUUGGACUAGAUGACCUCCAGGUCCCUUCCAGCCCUGGAUUAUCCUCUGAAGCUGCAUCUAGUACCAGGUUACAGACUGACAGUAAAGAACAAUGAUGGUCCAAAGCUCUUCCAGCACACAGCAGAGCAUGCAGGUAACAAGCAAAGUGAGCAGAUGAUUCCAUCCCUAUCAUGGACUUAAUUUUUUCUCUGCUGCAGUCAUGGUCAAGAUUCAAAAGCUAGCGGAGACUAUUCCAAUUGCAUCAAGUUGAUUCCCUUUUAGAAACAUGGCUUAGU